rnacentral:rRNA from 1 species
AUGUGUGUACCCAAGAACCAAGGAGGAAUGGGUUUUCGGGAUAUCCAUUGUUUCAAUUUGACUAUGCUUGCUAAACAGGCUUGGCGUCUUCUCGAGAAUCCGGAUUCUCUAUGUGCUACUAUUUUGAGAGUCAAAUACUAUCAUGACGAUGACUUGUUGAACACUGACCUGAAGAAGGGUUCUUCCUUCACCUGGCAAAGUAUUAUGGCGGGUGUGAGCUCCCUGAAGCAUGGUCAUAUUUGGCGAGUGGGAAACGGGCAGAAUAUUGACAUUUGGGAGGACGCAUGGAUUCCAAAUUGUGCAAACCGUAAAAUUAUUACCCCUAAGGGAGGCCAGUUGUUAUGGAAGGUAGCAGAUUUGAUUGAUCCAAUCCUAAAUAGUUGGGAUGAAGAUCUUCUCAGACAAACUCUAUGGCCUAUUGAUGUUCAGCGAGUGCUUACGAUCCCGAUAUCGCAACAUGAUAUGCCAGAUUUCGUAGCUUGGAAUUCACAAAAAGAUGGGAUUUUUUCGGUUCGGUCUGCUUAUUUUGUGGAAUGGGGCCACAAAUAUGGGAACAAGUUACGACAUACCAAUGGGAUGGGACGUACCACGGUCAAUCCUAUUUGGGCGAGGAUUUGGAAACUUACUUGUCCAGCAAAGGUCAAAAUAUUUAUUUGA